CCAGGUCUCAGCCACAUCCAGGUCCCAGUUGGCUGGCAGAGGACGAGAGCAUGAGGGAGGCACGCCCACUUGGCCUGGCAAUGGCACGGACAGCCUCCACUCACAUUUACAUUUCUCAUCCAAUGAAAAGGCCAGCUGGGAAGUGAGCCCAGGAAGAUGCAGAGAGCAGGUGUAGGUGGACCCCUACCUGUCUCUGCUUCCGAUGGCAGUUGUGAUGUUUGCAGGUGUAACCAAAACCUCCACUUAAAGGGCCAGGCCCGGGGGCUCAUGCCUGUAAUUCCAGCACUUCAGGAGGCCGAGAUCACGCCAUUGCACUCCAGCCUGGGCAACAAGAGCAAAACUCACUGCAGCCUCUGCCUCCCGGGUUCAAGCCAUUCCGUCUCUAGUAGCUGGGAUUAC
rnacentral:lncRNA from 1 species